UAUGGUUUGAGAUAGUCUUAGAAUUUCGUAAGUAAUUAUUUCAGGUUAUGUGUAUCAGAACCAAACACUUGUUAUUUUCAGUGAGCUUGUGUUUCCGCAUUGCGAGCAGGAGGUGACUAGUGUUUAGACAAACAUAUUAGCGCACAUUACGUACCUGUGCUGUUCGGCAAUUACGAAGAAUACCAGAUCGACGCUUGGUGGCUUAGGAGGGCAAUCAUGGACUGCAAGGGAACUAGUUGGGUGAAAAAAGAGAAGAAUGAAAUAUAUGCUGAACCAGAAUCCUUGUUUAUUGAAGGUCCGCUAAAGAUUGUAAUGCCUAGUCUCCAUAUAAAGCAAGACCAAGAACUGAAACAGGAGGAUGGCAUUGAGCGUGAUGUAAGUUUUCACAUCAGU